UCACUUUCAACAACGGAUCUCUUGGCUCUCGCAUCGAUGAAGAACGUAGCGAAGUGCGAUAAGUAGUGUGAAUUGCAGAAUUCCGUGAAUCAUCGAAUUUUUGAACGCAAAUUGCGCUUCCUGGCAUCCCGGGAAGUAUGCCUGUUUGAGGGUCAGUAUU
rnacentral:rRNA from 1 species